rnacentral:rRNA from 1 species
UACGAAGGGGGCGAGCGUUGUUCGGAAUUACUGGGCGUAAAGGGCGCGUAGGCGGCUUAUCAAGUCAGGCGUGAAAUUCCCGGGCUCAACCUGGGGGCUGCGCUUGAUACUGAUGAGCUUGAAUGCGGGAGAGGAUAGUGGAAUCCCCAGUGUAGAGGUGAAAUUCGUAGAUAUUAGGAAGAACACCAGUGGCGAAGGCGGCUCACUGGUCCGGUACUGACGCUGAGGUGCGAAAGCGUGGGGAGCAAACAGG